rnacentral:lncRNA from 8 species
UACAGUGAGUUGUAGAUAUAUGGUGACUCCAGGUUUGGAUGAACGGACCUUGACGGGUACCAGGAAUUGUAGGACAACCAGAAGGUAAUUAUCUUUGCACACAACAGCAGCGUCCAGGCCUCCAGAUUAUUCACUUUAUCGCCUGCUGUUCUGACGGGAGCCACAGCUGUUUACUGGGGUUGCCUAUACUGUAGUAUAACAAAUGUGUGAUUGACUUAGUGUUUUUCUAUUGAUAUUUUUGUAUAACGUACUUUGAGAUCACUGAUACUCCACCUGAUGUGGUGGAAGUUGUCAAACCAGAUCAGAACGCCUUCGAGGACCACCUUCAUGCAAGGAUGUGGAGGUUUUUGACCAGGUAAAAAUGAUUGUCCUCUGUUAAUUUAUUUUCUGGCCUUCCAAGAUAUAUAUAUAUAUAAGAGCUGUAUUUGUAAUAAUAUGAAAUAUAAUUGCGUUUAUUUCUAUUAUCAAUCAAGGUGAGACUGAACAUGGACAAGGCGCAUGAGAAAAAGGAGAGUCACCAGAGGUGAAUCAAGGGAACCAAAUAUUCGACAUCUGGGCUAUGACUUGGCUUGGAAGAAGGACGAAAGGAAGGUGAGACCUGGAAAAGCUUUGUGCUCUUUCGCUCCUAGCUGGGGUCAACAUCCGUUAAGGUGAAUCUAAAAAUCUCAGAUGAUAACUAUUUGCAUUUGCCGCCUCAUGGUGGGCGACAUCAUCACGCUGUCAGCAGUACCAUCACUGGCCCAGAGAUUUCUCCAAAUAGUCAAUCUCAAGGCUAACCACUGGGUCACGUUAAGUAACCGCCACUUCCAGGGACCAUCCCUUACCUCCCUCAUCAACCCCUCUGACAUAAAAAAAAUUGACAUGUAUCCUUUCUUUUCUGUCUGCCAUUAACAUUAUUGCAUGUCUAAUCAAACAUUUAAAUUAAAUCAUUCAAUAACUGUAUUUUUACAUACAUGAUAAUCCCUUGACCUGUGUGUUUGCUUGUUUAAAUCUGUAUCCUACCCUUUUCCCUUUACUCUGCUCCUGUUCUCCAGGACCUAGGGGUUCUGCCUAACACCCAGACAUGGAUCCACCUGAUGUCCUCCAUAACCAACCACCCUCUAACUUUUCAUUACAUCAGCUACUGUUAUUGUCAUUAUCUGCUAAGAGCAAUAAAACUAUCAUACUGGCCACAUAAUGUGAGAUGCACAGAUUAGCUAAAAACACUAGCACUUCAAACAUUCAGAACAGAGGGCAGCAGCGCCUGGACUUUGCAGUUUCCCUCAUCAAGUCCACCUUCCAAGACUGACUACUUGUUGAAAACAAGUGACAGGCAGAACCUCCCAUCCACACAGUGCCCAACUCCUCUCUAUUCCACACACCAGAAUUCAGUAUUUCAGUCUAUGAUUACCAUGUGAGUGUACAAACAUAUCUGAAAAUAAAUUGACACGUACCAAAAAUGUUUUACAUUUAUGUAUUUAAAUCUAAAAUACUGCCAGAUUGGUUUUCACAGCUGUUUCGUAAGGUUUUCAUUAUUGUAAAUUGUAACGUAUCCCUUGAUGGUGUUUGUUAGUUCAACAUUAUUCAUUGUUGUAUCAUAAGACAUACAAUAAAUAUAUAUUCAACCACAAGGGUGUACGAAUGCGCUAUGAUUAUUAUUAUUUUUUUCAUCAUAAUAGAGGACUAAUGUUAUUUCAGUGUAGAUAAGGGAAGGCCUGUUUAAAAUGAAAAUAUCCCAGCCAGACAAGCCAGUGUAUGAAUAAAAGGUAUUUGCAUAUGAAUGGAGUGGGAAUUAGCUGACUUUGGGAUCUGUAAAGUAAGUAACAAUGUGGGGGGGGGGCAUUGAAAUUAUAUUUUUUACCCUGAUGCCUGUUUAUUCAUGAAAAGCAGAAGAUGGUAAAUAACUGCUUAGCCUAUGCAAAUUAAUAGGAAUGCAUUUAGCCUAAUUGGUAACAAAUAUGAUGUGGGAUCCUAGUACCGAUUUUGUUUGUCAAAUCCAGAUUAAAUAUAGGUCUUCAUGUGUAUCAAAUCUGUAGGCGAUUGUGGGCAAAAUCAAUGUCAAACUGCUGAAAUGUUUAGGCUUCAUCAUGACCUGUGGUUAAAACAGGCUGGGGUGUUUUCGGUUCCGUUUAGUCUGA